CGCGUAGGCGGUUGGAUAAGUCAGCUGUGAAAACCACGGGCUUAACUCGUGGCCUGCAGUUGAGACUGUCUGGCUUGAGUGUGGGAGAGGAGAGUGGAAUUCCUGGUGUAGCGGUGAAAUGCGUAGAUAUCAGGAGGAACACCGGUGGCGAAGGCGGCUCUCUGGACCACAACUGACGCUGGAGGCGCGAAAGGCUAAGGGAGCAAACA
rnacentral:rRNA from 1 species